UUGAAUGUGUCAGGUAGGCAGUGCAUCUCUAGCUGGCUGUUAAAAUUUCUUUUUAACAGUUGCUAGUUGCACUCCCCUCUGUUGCAUUCAUA
rnacentral:pre_miRNA from 8 species